rnacentral:rRNA from 1 species
AGGAAUAUUGGUCAAUGGACGAGAGUCUGAACCAGCCAAGUAGCGUGAAGGAUGAAGGUCCUACGGAUUGUAAACUUCUUUUAUAAGGGAAUAAACCCUCCCACGUGUGGGAGCUUGUAUGUACCUUAUGAAUAAGCAUCGGCUAACUCCGUGCCAGCAGCCGCGGUAAUACGGAGGAUGCGAGCGUUAUCCGGAUUUAUUGGGUUUAAAGGGAGCGCAGACGGGUCGUUAAGUCAGCUGUGAAAGUUUGGGGCUCAACCUUAAAAUUGCAGUUGAUACUGGCGUCCUUGAGUGCGGUUGAGGUGUGCGGAAUUCGUGGUGUAGCGGUGAAAUGCUUAGAUAUCACGAAGAACUCCGAUUGCGAAGGCAGCACACUAAGCCGUAACUGACGUUCAUGCUCGAAAGUGUGGGUAUCAAACAGGAUUAGAUACCCUGGUAGUCCACACGGUAAACGAUGGAUACUCGCUGUUGGCGAUAUACUGUCAGCGGCCAAGCGAAAGCAUUAAGUAUCCCACCUGGGGAGUACGCCGGCAACGGUGAAACUCAAAGGAAUUGACGGGGGCCCGCACAAGCGGAGGAACAUGUGGUUUAAUUCGAUGAUACGCGAGGAACCUUACCCGGGCUUAAAUUGCAGACGAAUUACGAGGAAACUUGUAAGCCGCAAGGCGUCUGUGAAGGUGCUGCAUGGUUGUCGUCAGCUCGUGCCGUGAGGUGUCGGCUUAAGUGCCAUAACGAGCGCAACCCUCGUGGCCAGUUACUAACAGGUUAAGCUGAGGACUCUGGCCAGACUGCCAUCGUAAGAUGUGAGGAAGGUGGGGAUGACGUCAAAUCAGCACGGCCCUUACGUCCGGGGCUACACACGUGUUACAAUGGGAGGUACAGAAGGCAGCUACCCGGCGACGGGAUGCCAAUCCCCAAAACCUCUCUCAGUUCGGACUGGAGUCUGCAACCCGACUCCACGAAGCUGGAUUCGCUAGUAAUCGCGCAUCAGCCACGGCGCGGUGAAUACGUUCCCG